rnacentral:rRNA from 1 species
AUGCCGCCUCCUUUGCUUCGAGCUGCCUCCUGCGCCUCGAUCUCCUUCAAGACUGGCCGGUUCCAUCUUCCUGCACCCGUUCCCCGUCUCCGGCGCCACGCUAGACCUCCCUCACGCCUCGCUAGCUAUUGCUGUGCCGCCGUGUUCCUGCUUCAAGCAGGCAGAGGGUCGAUCCACCACCAGCGCUCGCCUCUGCCAUGGACCUCCCCAGCGAGGCCCAUCUGCGUCAUCCGCCCCGGCCUCCUGCACUCGUGCCGGACCACGACGCACCGCUGUCAUUAUGCACCUCCAAUUGUUGUUGCAUCAAAGUCCAACGACCACUUAACAGGGAACAACGCCAAGUACCACGACAGACCGCCAAGUAACCCUUCGAAUCCUUCAAGUCCGUCAAGUGAACGACUACCAUCGCUCCAAGAUCCGAAUGGCUACGACGACAUGAACAUCUAUGAAACGUUUACAACUACACGAUGA